rnacentral:rRNA from 1 species
AGCGAACGCUGGCGGCAGGCCUAACACAUGCAAGUCGAACGGAUCCUUCGGGAUUAGUGGCGGACGGGUGAGUAACACGUGGGAACGUGCCCUUUGGUUCGGAACAACUCAGGGAAACUUGAGCUAAUACCGGAUGUGCCCUUCGGGGGAAAGAUUUAUCGCCAUUGGAGCGGCCCGCGUCUGAUUAGCUGGUUGGGUCGGUAAAGGCUCACAAAGGCGACGAUCAGUAGCUGGUCUGAGAGGAUGAUCAGCCACAUUGGGACUGAGACACGGCCCAAACUCCUACGGGAGGCAGCAGUGGGGAAUCUUGCGCAAUGGGCGAAGGCCUGACGCAGCCAUGCCGCGUGAAUGAUGAAGGUCUUAGGAUUGUAAAAUUCUUUCACCGGGGACGAUAAUGACGGUACCCGGAGAAGAAGCCCCGGCUAACUUCGUGCCAGCCGCCGCGGUAAAAC